AUGCCACCCAAGGCUCCCAAGGCACCCAUCACGUGCUACUGGAUGAGAUCCAAUGUUACUGAUGACACUCUAGCUGACUUUGUGAAGACGGGUUACCUGCCCAAGAAGGAGGUCAUGUCUUACUGUGCCCCUGACCCGUCAGAGGAAAGACCUCAACCUAGAGAUGGCGAGGUGGUAAUAUUUGCUGAUCACAUGAGUCGGAGCUUCGCACCUCCCGGCUCAAAAUUCUUUAGAGAUUUUUUGAACUUCUUCGAUCUGCGACCGCAAGACAUAGGACCCAAUUCCGUGUCAAAUAUUUGCAACUUUCAAGUAUUCUGCGAAGUAUAUCUUGGAGAAGAGCCCAGCCUACUGCUGUUUAGGGAAUUGUUUUAUCAGAACCGCCAGAAUGAGUGCGCCAACGGGCCUAGCUUGGAGCUUGGCGGAAUCUCUAUUCAACGACGGAGAGAUUGUCUUUUCCCUUACGCUGAGCCGCCAAGCCACCCAAAGGAUUGGAACCAGACAUGGUUCUACUGCCAAGACACUUCUCCGGCUGAUGAGAGCCCUCUGCCUGGCUUUUGUGCCCUGCGUCUGGAGCCAACUCACCCCCUGCCAGACAAACUAACUCAAGCGGAACGUCAGCCACUUAUCCCUACCAUCAACAAGAUUAAGGCUCUUCUGGGAAAUGGCCUUAACGGCAUUGAUCUGGUCCGGGUCUGGAUUUCUUGGCGGGUGAUUCCUCUGAGCCGCCGCCCCGGCUUAAUGUGUGAUUACACGGGCCGAAAGGAUGACCCUUUGCGGCACAGCUCCCACGAUCUUCCUGAGGAUGUCGUGGACGACAUGACCAAGUCUCUCCUGAAUGAGAGCUUAGCCGACUGUGGGAGGACCGGCUUAAGCCCCUUCUGCCAAGCUAACCCGGCUCCAGCGGUAAGCCGCUGA
rnacentral:rRNA from 1 species